rnacentral:rRNA from 1 species
GAUGAACGCUGACAGAAUGCUUAACACAUGCAAGUCAACUUGGACUUCGGUUUGGGUGGCGGACGGGUGAGUAACGCGUAAAGAACUUGCCUCACAGAUAGGGACAACAUUUGGAAACGAAUGCUAAUACCUGAUAUUAUGAUUAUAUGGCAUCGUAUAAUUAUGAAAGCUAUAUGCGCUGUGAGAGAGCUUUGCGUCCCAUUAGCUAGUUGGAGGGGUAACGGCUCACCAAGGCGAUGAUGGGUAGCCGGCCUGAGAGGGUGAUCGGCCACAAGGGGACUGAGACACGGCCCUUACUCCUACGGGAGGCAGCAGUGGGGAAUAUUGGACAAUGGACCAAGAGUCUGAUCCAGCAAUUCUGUGUGCACGAUGAAGUUUUUCGGAAUGUAAAGUGCUUUCAGUUGGGAAGAAAAAAAUGACGGUACCAACAGAAGAAGUGACGGCUAAAUACGUG